UGUCCACACAGCCUUCACCACGGAGCAGGUCCGUGGCUUGGAGGGCAUCUUCCAGCACCACCAGUACCUGGGCCCUCUGGAGUGGAAGAGGCUGGCCAGGGAAAUGCAGCUGUCGGAGGUCCAGAUAAAAACCUGGUUUCAAAAUCGCCGCAUGAAACACGAACGGCAAAUGCAGGACUCCCAGCUGAACAGCCUCUUCUCGGAGUCACUGCACGCACCCCUGGCUUUCCACUCACCGUCUUCUGGCCUUGCCAAUGGCCUGCACCUGCUGUGCCCUUGGGCACCCCUGCCUGGGCCCCAGACUCUGAUGCUGU
rnacentral:lncRNA from 1 species